AGCAGGCUGAGAAAAACACACUUCUUUACUCAACAUGAUCAGUUCUAUCACUUUAUCUCUGCUCUUUCUUCUUCCAGCUGCGUGCAUCCUCUUUCAUUUUACUAGAAAUACAUGCUUAAUGCAUUCAGAUGUAGAAGAAACUCAGAAAACAUUCACACUCACAAAAGUUCAAAAAAUGAUUAUCAUUUAGACAUUUAAUUCCUUCAAUUUUCAGUUUUUAUACCUCUUACACCUUUACCCUAAUAAUUUAUCUGAUAAUAUCACAGACCAACAGAAAUGCUUUUUUUAAGAUUGCUAUUAUUUAAUCCUGUACACUUUAGGAAACAGCUACAUGCAGCCACCUGCAGAUGCAUCUGAAUUCAAGCAGCUCUUUGACUGAUGGAGACUGAAAAAGUUAAAUGAAGGCUAAAGAAGACAGGUGGAGACUGAAGGAGACAGGUGGACAGGUGGAGACUAAAGGAGACAGGUGGAGACUGAAGGAGACAGGUGGACAGGUGGAGACUAAAGGAGACAGGUGGAGACUGAAGGAGACAGGUGGAGACUGAAGGAGACAGGUGGACAGGUGGAGAGAGACGGAGACAGGUGGAGAGCGAUAGAGACAGGUGGAGAGAGACAGAGACAGGUGCAGAGAUGGACACUGAAUGAGACAGGAGGAGACAGGUGGAGAUUAAAGGAGACAGAGAGUGAAACAGAGUUCUUACCCAGAGC